rnacentral:lncRNA from 1 species
CGCCUGCCUUGGCCUUCCAAAGUGCUGGGAUUACAGGCCUGAGCCUCGGCGCCUGGCCCAAAUGCAUCUUUAGGAAAAUUAUAUUUAAGCUCUUCAUGGAGACAUUAAAAAACCAAGCUGCAUUAAUGAUAAAUAAUUAUAUCAUUCAUUAGUAAGGAGUAAAUAGCUGUUUUCUAUUUGAGAAGUAUUAAUUGGAUUGUCCAUCUGUAUGCAGGAACAUCUGUUUUCUGACAUGCUUUAAUCACCAUUUGUUUUGUACUUGUACCAUAAUUACACUUGUUUGUAAUAUUGAACUCGAGACAAUGAUUAAAUCAACUUAUGAAUACGAUUCUUUUAUGCUUUUAUAUUUCAUUAGAAAAUGUGUAAUUCUGGUAUGACAUUUAUAAGUAUAUAUAAAAGAAAGUAUUUGAUUCACAAAAUGCCCCAACAGAUUAUGUCAGUAAAAUGAGUGUUAUAUUAUGCAGUCUAUGUUAUUAUUUUAGCAUUUUUAAGGAAAGUUUAUUGCUUCACGGAAGCUUUUUUUUAACUGACCAUCUAUGAAUUUUCUGUAUUCUUUAUUUCAGUGUGAUCACAUGGUCAUAGAAGAGACAUUUUUAGAUCAUCAGAAGUUGACAGUUUUCACUGUAGUGUAUGUGCUUAGUAUAAGAUGGAAUUAAGUUUGUUGUAUGGGUGAUUGAUGAAUUUUUACUGAAUCAUGGAUAACUGCUGUUCUAUUAAUGACAUUUCAUCAAUCAACUGUUUGGAUAUGGUUUAUCACAAAAUGUUGCUGACUUCAUGUUUGUGGAUUAACUGAGGUGAAAGUGAUACCUGGUAGAAGUUUCAUUAAUACAAAUUUUCCUCUCUUAGGAGUAGGAUGGAUUAUAUUAUUUGUUGAAAUGCCUUUGCAUGUAAGUUCUUAACUGUCAGUUUUCUUGUCCUGUGAAUCAUAUCUUUUCUGUAUUUGCUGAAAUAGAGACUUAACAUUGUUAAAUGAUUUGUCCAUGUCAUGGAAAAUGUAUGCCUCUAAAUCUGCGUUCCUUCCUACAAAUUACAAGUUCAAAAUGACUUUUUUUAAGAAACCAAAAAAAGAUGGAUUUCUGGUAUUUUGUGGCAGGAUAAGCUCCCUGUAGCCUAUCUUACAUGUUGAUUACAACUAAAACUAUGAAAAGUACAAUAAGCAACUAACUGAGGAAUCUGAAAAGUAAAUAAAAGUAGAAUUAUGAGUGAUAGGCAAAAUCUGGAGAAGCACCCUGCAGUAGUGUGAGCUUCCAUUGUUGUAUUUCUUUCAAUCAAAACCAAAACAAACAAACAAAACAAACAAAAACCAGAAAAGAACACCACCAACAAGAAAACACUCAAGGAAAAUAGAUAUUGUGAUAGAAACAGCAGAAAUGUUGAGAAACAAAACCAGAAGGUUAGAAUUAUUAGAGAAAAUAAUAUAAAAAGAGUAAUUUUAAAGUAUCUAAACAAAAUUUUAAAAAGGAAUUUAAAAAAAUAAGCAAGGAGAAGACAAUAAAAAUAGGUUGAUAAUUCAUUUGUUAGCA